rnacentral:rRNA from 1 species
CGCGAAAACUCCGCAAUGCGGGAAACCGUGACGGGGCUACCCCGAGUGCCCCCGAUAAGGGGGCUUUUCCCCGCUGUCAGGAGGCGGGGGAAUAAGCGGGGGGCAAGUCUGGUGUCAGCCGCCGCGGUAAUCCCAGCCCCGCGAGUGGUCGGGACGAUUAUUGGGCCUAAAGCGCCCGUAGCCGGCCCGGGGAGCCUCCCAUUAAAUCGGCGGGCUCAACGCGGGGGCUGGGGGCGAAACCGCCGGGC